AGUGAACGCUGGCGGUAGGCCUAACACAUGCAAGUCGAACGGCAGCACAGUAAGAGCUUGCUCUUACGGGUGGCGAGUGGCGGACGGGUGAGGAAUACAUCGGAAUCUACUUUUUCGUGGGGGAUAACGUGGGGAAACUUACGCUAAUACCGCAUACGACCUACGGGUGAAAGCAGGGGAUCUUCGGACCUUGCGCGAUUGAAUGAGCCGAUGUCGGAUUAGCUAGUUGGCGGGGUAAAGGCCCACCAAGGCGACGAUCCGUAGCUGGUCUGAGAGGAUGAUCAGCCACACUGGAACUGAGACACGGUCCAGACUCCUACGGGAGGCAGCAGUGGGGAAUAUUGGACAAUGGGCGCAUGCCUGAUCCAGCCAUACCGCGUGGGUGAAGAAGGCCUUCGGGUUGUAAAGCCCUUUUGUUGGGAAAGAAAAGCAGCAGGUUAAUACCCCGCUGUUCUGACGGUACCCAAAGAAUAAGCACCGGCUAACUUCGUG
rnacentral:rRNA from 1 species